AUGAUAGUUACUUUUAAAAAUACAUACAGUAAUGAAUGUAACCAGUUAUAUUACAGACUUAUUUUGGGUUCUUAAUAUGUAGGUAAAUAAAAGAUGCCAAGACAAAUUUAUUUUAUUUUAAGUAUACAAAUCCACAUUAGAAACUACAUCAACACAAUCAUGUUAAAUUAUUUUAUAUUGUUAUAAGUAGGUAUGAUUAAAAUCACAAUGAUAUUUCUAAAUUUAUUAUUUAUCAAUCAGAAUAUGGAUACAAGUAACAGUUAAAAUCGAUAGCUUGAAUUAUAUCAUAGCUCUUUUAAGUAAGAGUAUACUUUAUUAAAUAAAACAGAAUAAAAUGUGAUCUACUAAUAAACCUAAACUUAAAUAGAACCUAUAAAUAUUAAAAUAUAUAUAAAUAAUAUAAUUGUUACGUUCACUUCACUCUCACUGCACUAACUCAUUGUUACUACUACUCGACAACAGGUGUCGCUAUUAUUACCGCUACUCGGCAACAGAUGGCGCCAUGUGUCCAAAGAGUUAAAAUAAAUACAGCUGUUUUCAUUUUUAUAAACAUACGUAUUCUUUAGGGUUUUAAUUUCUGUCUUGUUAAAUAUUCUGCUAAUCCAAUUAUUAAACUACAAUAUUGGAAAUAAUUAGUGCGCAUGGCAUUAAUGAAGGUCAAUGCGCAUAGUCAAAACAUUGCGCAUUCCGUGGCUAACCUCUCCGAGUCGAUCGACCUGCGAACGGAACGGAACUGUCAGUGCUAACAAGAGCCUCUUCGUUUCGUUGUGCUGUUUUUGGUGCUGAGUGUUUGUAAAAAGUUACUAGCUUUUGGUUUUGUUUUGGUGCUUGUGUACAAUAGAAUUACAGAGGCAUGGCCCGGGGGCAGCGGCGGUAUUCCCGAAAAAAUAGGAAAGCUGAAAUUUAGAAGAAAAAAAAUAUUAAAUAAAGAUAUAAGAAGAGAUGUAAGAAGGCAAGCUGACAAUGGGAUGGUAUGUCUGCAAAGCCAAUCAUAAAGAACCAAAUAAACUGCUUAUGGGCUUAUGGUUAUAUUAAACCGAUUGCAUGUAUCUAUAUACUCUAAGCAUGUAUCAUAUUUGUUUUCUCAGCCUCACACUUUAACUCAGGUUCGCUGAAGCAUUGGCAAGCUGAAUGUGAGAUGGUAUGUUGAUGUCCUGUACAUUGACACGGAAAUGAGGCAUUGAAGAUGUUAUGUUGGGGACAAUGCAUGAUAGAACAGUGAGUUUAUAAUCACUGUUGGCUGACUGGAUAGCAAAUCGAGCCUUUUGGUUGGUUGUGUUGGAAGCAUUGCACACACCAACAAUUGUUUUCUUCAUCGAAGAACUCAGUAUUAAUUCGCUUAGCUAGAUCCUUUAGGAUAAAAUUUACAGAGCUCCCUGAAUCUAGUAGAGCUCUAGCAUAGAUAUGCUCACCAUUUUUAGCUUGAAGCUUGACAGAUAUUGUAGGCAAUAAUACCUCACUCUGUAUGUUAGACAUCAAUGAAACAUGAUUAGUAGCAGCAGCGGCAGCGGGUUGGCUAUUAUGAAGCAAGGUGUUGUGCUUGCCUUUGUAGAUACCACACUUAAAGAAAAAUCUGCAUUUUUGGUGGUUGUUGAGGCAUAUAGUGCAUAGCUUAUUGUUGGCCACAUAUGAAAUCCUUUCAUGCACUGCAGCUAGUUUAAACUUUUCACAUCUAAAUAGUUUGUGAUUAGAAGCAUGACAGUACUUACA